rnacentral:lncRNA from 1 species
AAAAUUGUGAAAAUAAUUGUUAAAUACAUUUGGCUUUAAGCAGGCACAGACUGUGAUCAGUUGUAAAUUUUAUAGGGAUUUAUGUUUUAAUGGUAUUGGGUGACUAACUUUUCUGAAUGCGUUUUCAGGGGAAUGAAUUGGAAGUAACCAUUAUGAUGGUGGUAGAAGCACUAUGUGAACUUCAUUGUCCUGAAGCUAUACAAGGAAUUGCUGUCUGGUCAUCAUCUAUUGUUGGAAAAAAUCUUCUGUGGGUUAACUCAGUGGCUCAACAGGCUGAAGGGAGGUUUGAAAGGCCUCUGUGGAGUACCAGGAACACCUGUGUGCCAUGACAGGUGUUGAUUGCUGCAUCUCCAGCUUUGACAAAUCGGUGCUCACCUUAGCCAAUGCUGGGUGUAACAGUGCCAGCCCGAAACAUUGUCUGAAUGGUGAAUCCAGAAAAACUGUGCUGUCCAAACCGACUGACUCUUCCCCUGAGGUUAUAAAUUAUUUAGGAAAUAAAGCAUGUGAGUGCUACAUCUCAAUUGCCGAUUGGGCUGCUGUGCAAGAAUGGCAGAACGCUAUCCAUGACUUGAAAAAGAGUACCAGUAGCACUUCCCUCAACCUGAAAGCUGACUUCAACUAUAUAAAAUCAUUAAGCAGCUUCGAGUCUGGAAAAUUUGUUGAAUGUACCGAGCAAUUAGAAUUGUUACCAGGAGAAAAUAUCAGUCUACUUGCUGGAGGAUCAAAAGAAAAAAUAGACAUGAAAAAACUGCUUCAUAACAUGUUAAGUCCAGAUCCAAGGGAACCUCAGAAAUCCAUUGAAGUUCAAUUGUUAAGAAGUUCUGUUUGUUUGGCAACUGCUUUAAACCCGAUAGAACAAGAUCAGAAGUGGCAGUCUAUAACUGAAAAUGUGGUAAAGUACUUGAAGCAAACAUCCCGCAUCGCUAUUGGACCUCUGAGACUUUCUACUUUAACAGUUUCACAGUCUUUGCCAGUUCUAAGUACCUUGCAGCUGUAUUGCUCAUCUGCUUUGGAGACCACAGUUUCUAACAGACUUUCAACAGAGGUAUGAUCUCGUGAAACCUUGAGAGAAAGUGAAUGACGAAUGAAACUAUUGUUCCUGUUUCACACAGAAGAAAACUGAGGUUAAAAGGGGUUGGCACUCAUCAUGAGCCCCUGUUCUCAUUCUGCAAAUGGUGAAGCUCUCUAUUGUCCUGACCCCACAGUUCCUGUCCCAUGACCAGGGCCAGCUCACCAAGGAGCUGCAGCAGCACGUAAAGUCAGUGACAUGCCCAUGCGAGUACCUGAGGAAGGUGAGUGAGUGCAGACAGAUGGGGCCUGGUGCCCUUGAGCAGUUCCCGGGUCUCAGCUGCCACACAUCUCAUAGCGGGUGAUGCUGGGGGAAGCUUACGCAGUCACAGUACUGGCUUCUUCCUCUUUUUCUUUCCAUACAAGGGGCUUAGGGAUGGGGUAGAGUAGUUGACUUAUUUGGAUGAAAACCACUAUCUUCUGCCAGAAACUCAAAAGGAAUCAUUGCUGGCAUGGUAACCUAAAGAAAAACAACCAGACAAGUGCCCAACGACACUUAAAAAGGUUAUUUAUUAUCUUGCCAAGUUUAGGCUGGGCAUGGUGACUCAUGCCUGUAAUCCCAGCAUUUUGGGAGGCUGAGGCUGGUGGAUCACCUGAGGCCAGGACUUCGAGACCAGCCUGACCAAUACGGCAAAACCUCG